rnacentral:RNase_P_RNA from 1 species
GGUUGGGUGGGUAUUGGGCCUGCGGCUUAACAGCUGAGGAAAGUCUGCCCACCAACAAAAAGGCGGCUCGCAAGAGAUCCAGCAAUGGAUGGCUCCAUCACAGAAACGCGACCGUGAGUGAGGAGGAUGAUGCGUGAAACUCGAGGCGACUUGGGCAAACGCGCGGACGCUCUCACCUGCUUGGCUGAAACGGAUAGCCCCCGCCGGUGCAAGCAUCUUUGUAUGCGCUAAGUAGAAUGCCCAAACAGCCUGUCCCGGCUUUUCAAAAAAGCCACCCUUGAUUCGAAGGGGAGGAGGCUGACAAAAGGCAGCUUACUCCCACCCAACC